rnacentral:rRNA from 1 species
AGUGAACGCUGGCGGUAGGCCUAACACAUGCAAGUCGAACGGCAGCACAGUAAGAGCUUGCUCUUACGGGUGGCGAGUGGCGGACGGGUGAGGAACACAUCGGAAUCUACUUUUUCGUGGGGGAUAACGUAGGGAGACUUACGCUAAUACCGCAUACGACCUACGGGUGAAAGCAGGGGAUCUUCGGACCUUGCGCGAUUGAAUGAGCCGAUGUGGAUUAGCUAGUUGGCGGGGUAAAGGCCCACCAAGGCGACGAUCCGUAGCUGGUCUGAGAGGAUGAUCAGCCACACUGGAACUGAGACACGGUCCAGACUCCUACGGGAGGCAGCAGUGGGGAAUAUUGGACAAUGGGCGCAAGCCUGAUCCAGCCAUACCGCGUGGGUGAAGAAGGCCUUCGGGUUGUAAAGCCCUUUUGUUGGGAAAGAAAAGCAGCAGGUUAAUACCCCGCUGUUCUGACGGUACCCAAAGAAUAAGCACCGGCUAACUUCGUG